rnacentral:rRNA from 1 species
UGCCGCGUGUGUGUAGAAGGCCUUCGGGUUGUAAAGCACUUUCAGCGAGGAGGAAAGGUUGGUAGCUAAUAACUGCCAGCUGUGACGUUACUCGCAGAAGAAGCACCGGCUAACUCCGUGCCAGCAGCCGCGGUAAUACGGAGGGUGCAAGCGUUAAUCGGAAUUACUGGGCGUAAAGCGCACGCAGGCGGUUGGAUAAGUUAGAUGUGAAAGCCCCGGGCUCAACCUGGGAAUUGCAUUUAAAACUGUCCAGCUAGAGUCUUGUAGAGGGGGGUAGAAUUCCAGGUGUAGCGGUGAAAUGCGUAGAGAUCUGGAGGAAUACCGGUGGCGAAGGCGGCCCCCUGGACAAAGACUGACACUCAGGUGCGAAAGCGUGUGGAGCAAACAGGAUUACAUACCCUGGUAGUCCCCGCCGUAAACGAUGUCCAUUUGAAGGCUGUGUCCUUGAGAGGUGGAUUCAAGAGCUAACGCAUUCCAUCGGCCGACUGGGAAGUACAGGUUGAAGGUUAAAACUCUUGUGAAUUGUCGGGGGCCCGCACAAACGGUGUAGCAUGUGGUUUAAUUCCAUGCAGCACCUAAAACCUUAUCUAGCCUUGACAUGUCGGGAAUCCUGU